AAAUUAUUUCCUAAAUGGCACUUAAAAAAUAAACAUAGGUGCUUUCUGCACAACAUUGUUUCUGUUGCUAUUAGCAGAAUACAUCUACAUAGCCUUUUGGCCCCACAUGUGUAAUGUGGAUAUCAGCCAUUGUUUGCUAUGUGAAAAAUGUAAUGGUUACCAAUUGAUUUAUUACUUUGCAGCAAUAACAUUAUUGUACUCUCAUUGUCUCCGUAAUAAAGUAUUGCACAAACAUCCUUACAUGUAAUGUUAUUUCCAGAAUCUAGUUUUUCAGGAAGGAAAAUGCCUUGGGCAGCCUUGAGUAACAUCAAUGUUUUAUGUCAAAAAACAGCCCUUGAAAUAGCCCAUCAUAAAAAACACUUAAAUAUUUUAUUCUACCAGUUUCUGUAUAUUGUUCUGAAAUAGCAACAUAUCCUAUCUCUCUUUCUGUAUGAAUCUGUUUAUAUAUUUCAGAACCCGUUUCAAAACCAAAUUAGUCAAGUUUAUUGAAAGACUAAGAAUCUCCAUUUACAGCUUUGGAUGUUGUUUUCUCUGAAAUCGGGACACUUCAUAUUUACUUGUGUGUGGGAAUCUACUGGAAUAGUAUUGGGCAUGCUCUUGGCUUUUAUGGAAUCAAUCUUAAUGAACAGGAGCAAGAGAAUCCAUUCGAUUAUUUGAUGAUCUAAAGUCAAGGAAUUGUUUUUCCUUGAUCUUCCCUCAAACAGAAAGCAUGUGACAUUUAUGCUGAUGUUCUAAAUCCCGCUCAUUAUUUUUUGGGCAAAUAAAGAAGUGGCAAUUAAUGGAUGACUGUGGACCUGGGAUAGUGAUGGAAUAGCAUCUACAAAAGGUUUCUUGUAUAAAAGGUUCAUGAAACCUGGAAUAAACAUACAUGAUAAAAA